ensembl:lncRNA
GUCGGUAACAGAUCAGCUCCCUCUCUGCUUGCCGUUCUGUUUCACAGACACAAAGCUUGUGCUUAUUUUUACAACAGCCUUUUUGUCCCAAAAAGUCCUCCUGGUUUAGCUGUGUGACUAAAUGCUAUUUGUCCUCUUCAGUGGACCUCUAUUCUCUAGAUUCUCUUCUUGUUUUCUCACCAUCCCACUUGAGAUGCUUGUUAGUAACUGUUACAGGUCUUCUUUACCACCGAGAAAAGACAGAAUCCUACUGGAGGCCAGAAAGAUAAAUCCAGACAUGGAUGGAAGACCCUCACUCCUGACUGUUGACUUGAAUACCCCUGAAGGUAGGGAGUGCUCCGGGUCUGCCACCAGGCUCCAAGGGUGGGUCUCCGAGGGGCUGGAAAAUGCCCCACCAAUCUGGCUAAAAUAAGUAAAAGAUAUAAAGAGAGAAAGUUACAGAAAUUUAAAGGGUUAAGCUAAGUUGCUGAGAGUUAGUGUAAGUUGCAGAGAAAGUAAAGUUGAAGUGUAGUUACAUAAGUGGACAGCAUCUAAUAGCUGUAGAGGAAGAUGCAGAAGAUAUGAGAGAGAGACUGAGGAAGAGAAAGAGAAAAGAAGGUAAAAAGAGCAGGAAGCUAAGGAAGAAAAGAGAUAAAAGGAAAAAGAAGCUAGAGAGUUAAAGAGGGAUAAAAGACAGGAGAGGAAUAUAUACUGGCCACAGUAGUUAGGGAACCUAGGAAGACAGUACCUGGCAACAGAAGAGAAUUCCUAGCUAAAGAUCAGUGUGCCUAUCGCAAGGAAAAAGGACACUGGGUCAGGGACUGCCCCAUGAAGAACAAGAGGGGCCUCUCCAGCAGCCCGGAAGGCAAGCCUCUUGGUUCUAGAGUGCUGGCUAUGCGCAAAGAUAGAAGGGAAGCCUGCCCAGUUGUUUUGUGAAUACGGGGGCCCAACACUCUGUGCUCCUACGCCCAAAUGGGCUAGUGUCCAGCAAAAGACCUUGAGUACAGGGGACUACCGGCAACAAAUGAUACUCAUGGACUACCCGAAGAACGGUGGACCUUGGCGUGGGCCGGGUAUCCCACUUGUUCCUUGUGAUCCCAGACUGCCCCUACGAGUCUAAACCCUGCAACCCUGCUCCCGGACCCCGACCUAGACACCCCCCUUCAUGACUGUCAGCAGGUGCUCACUAAAGCACAGGGGUGGCAUAAAGAUCUGACUGACCAGCCACCAAAGGGGGUAGAUGCCAUCUGGUUCAUAGAUGGGAGCAGCUUCUUAGAGAAGGAAAAAGAUGGGCUGGGGCAGCAGUGGUUGAUGGAAACAGAGUCAUUUGGGCUCAGGCCCUACCAGAAGACACCACUACUCAGGGGGUAGAGCUCGCUCCCCUCACCAAAGCCCUUGAGCCGAGAAGGAGACUUAACAUCUAUGUGGACAGCACGUAUGCCUUUGCUACAGCCCAUCAGCAGAGGGGCCUGCUGACAUCUGAGGGCAAGAAAAAAAAAGAGAUUCUGGCUCUGUUAAGGGCCCUACAUGACCCAGCCAGGCCGAGGAAGAGACUCUGGUACACCUCAACGAGAAAGAAGAUCCUGCUACAAUUUUUACAGGCAGAGGCCAUGGUCUCAAGUAUCUCGUGGAACAGAUAGUGCACUGAUGUAUACCAUGCCAAAAGGUAACUGUUUUCAGGAAAGUUGACUGUGGUAGGAGGCUCCGUGGGGAACGGCCUGGAUACUACUGAGAAGUGGACUUCACAGAGAUAAAACCAGGAAAAUAUGGUUAUAAAUGUCUCCUAGUGUUUAUAGAUAUCUUUUCAGGAAUAGGUAGAAGCUUUCCCCACCAAGCAAGAGACGGCCUCAAUAGUCAUCAAGAAGAUACUAGAAGAAAUCUUCCCCCAAUUUGGAAUGCCCAAGGUAAUCUGGUCAGACAACAGCCCUACUUUCGUUGCCAAGGUAAGCCAGGGUGUGGCCAAGUAUUUAGAGGUUGAUUGAAAAUUACGUUAUAUUUACAGACCUCAAAGUUCAGGACAGGUAGAAUAAAUAAAUAAGACUCUAAAAGAGACCCUGACCAAAUUGACCAUGGAGACUGGCGUAGACUGGGUGACACUCCUUCCCUCUUGCUCUCUUCAGAGCAAGAAAUACCCCUUCCAGAUUCAGCCUUACCCCCUUUGAGAUCUUAUAUGGGGCCUCAGCUCCCCUGACUGUAUUAGAUGAUGUUACUGAACCAACAUGUCAUAGUAAUAAUGAUUUGUGUGCCAGGCUAAAAGACCUACAGGUGAUACAGAAAGAAAUCUGCUCACAGCUGACAGCAGCCUAUGCCCCGGGGACCCCUGAGACAUGUCAUCAGUUCCAGGUUAGAGACUACAGCUACACUGAGCCCAGACACUCGAGCCUCGCUGGAAAGGACCAUACCUGGUGCUGCUGACCACCCUGACAGCCAUCAAGUCUCAGCCCUCACCAGCAGCGUACUAGCUGUUGGGGCUGAGAGCUGGGACCUAGAGGGACACUCAGAUCUUCAAAAAGCUCCCUAGACUUAAGUGAUUGGGAGGUUGCUAUAAUGCUCACUUGAGGAGUGUGUUUUAGAAACAAGAAUUUCAUAUUUGCCUGUUUGCCCUGGGUUCCCUCGGAAUAGGUGUAAGGAUAGGCUUGAUUUUUAUUGCAAAUGAUGUAAUAUUACAUAUGUUAGUACUCCUAACACUUCUUGGGACUGUGCCUCAGGGAUCACAACCUAUAUAAGUUUAGAAGUUCUAAAAGACCUUGGUGUAUAGGUUCAGAUAGUGUCCAGAUUAGAAUCCUGAUGCUAAAGACUUAAUAAGACACAAAAGAGAGUUGAGAAUUAUUUAAGGCUAUCUAGGUGCUACAAGGGCAGCACAAGGACAUCUGCUAUUGCCCUAUAAUGCAAGGCUUAUAGAGAAUUCAGAACUGCCAUUGACUCAGAUAUGAAAAGAGUAAAAAAGACUUUUUAGCUGACCUCCAAGAACACCUAACCUCCCUCUCAGAGGUAGUCCUUCAAAAUAGAAAAAGAUUAGACCUGAUAUUCCUUAAAGAAGGAGUAUGUGUGCUACACUAAAAGAAGAAUGUUGUUUCUAUGCAGAUCAGAUAGGAAUAAUAAGAGAUAUAGUCUUUCAGUCAUUCAAACUUUUGUGCUGAGACAACAGUAUCAGAUGGUGAAACAACAAAAAACAGAGGUACCUUAACCAAGUUGAGUGGAAGAUUCCACUCAAGGACAAAAAGAAAAUGGGGGAAUGAAAGACCCCCUCCCAGAAAGGGAAUUGUACAAGCCCAAGGCCCUCAACUAUAGAAGUAAAAAGUAAGUUUUUAGAUAUGUGGGACAAGCUGAC